rnacentral:lncRNA from 1 species
AAUACAAUCCAUCCGAAUCCGUUACAAAUUGUUCAUUUUGGUUUCAAACGAUUUAUACGUGAUAAAACGGUCGGCAGCAGAUUGAAUUUUUUUCAAUCUAAUUAGGUUUGGUCAGAUGAAAUUUUUCUCUCAAUCCGACCGAAUCCGACUUGCGCUCAGUCUUAGGGCUUACUGUUGUAGGGCUUUAUGAGUAUGAACUGUAGCAGAGUUUGAGUGUCUUUAAUUUCCAACACAUGACACCAUUAUGGCACAACGAAGUCUACGUAGGAUAAUGAGAAUUUGUAUUUUGACGGUCCUCCAUGAGAACUACCUUGCAAAGCAAACUGGAGUAAUCUUAAGCACAAACAUUGUGG